GGUUGGAGUCUCGGGUUAGACGUGUGUGCAAGUCCCUUGGAACAGGGUGCCACUGAGGGUGAGAGCCCCGUAUCGUGCAUGUCGACACCUGUGAGGCCCUUCUGACGAGUCGAGUUGUUUGGGAAUGCAGCUCUAAGUGGGUGGUAAAUUCCAUCUAAGGCUAAAUAUUGGCGAGAGACCGAUAGCGAACAAGUACUGUGAAGGAAAGAUGAAAAGCACUUUGAAAAGAGAGUGAAACAGCACGUGAAAUUGUUGAAAGGGAAGGGUAUUGGGCUCGACAUGGGAUUUACGCAUCGUUGCCUCUCGUGGGCGGCGCUCUGGGUUUUUCCUGGGCCAGCAUCGGUUUUCGUUGCAGGAUAAGGACAAUUGGAAUGUGGCUCCUCGGAGUGUUAUAGCCUUUUGUAGAUGCUGCGUAUGGGGACCGAGGGCUGCGGCGGACUCGUUUCGUCUCGGAUGCUGGCA
rnacentral:rRNA from 1 species